UGGGGAAUAUUGCACAAUGGGCGCAAGCCUGAUGCAGCCAUGUCGCGUGUAUGAAGAAGGCCUUCGGGUUGUAAAGUACUUUCAGCGAGGAGGAAGGCGUUGUGGUUAAUAACCGCAACGAUUGACGUUACUCGCAGAAGAAGCACCGGCUAACUCCGUGCCAGCAGCCGCGGUAAUACGGAGGGUGCAAGCGUUAAUCGGAAUUACUGGGCGUAAAGCGCACGCAGGCGGUCUGUCAAGGCGGAUGUGAAAUCCCCGGGCUCAACCUGGGAACUGCAUCCGAAACUGGCAGGCUAGAGUCUUGUAGAGGGGGGUAGAAUUCCAGGUGUAGCGGUGAAAUGCGUAGAGAUCUGGAGGAAUACCGGUGGCGAAGGCGGCCCCCUGGACAAAGACUGACGCUCAGGUGCGAAAGCGUGGGGAGCAAACA
rnacentral:rRNA from 1 species